UUUACUAUGAAAAUAUUUUGCUAUAAAUCCAAAACUCUUUAGGCAAAAUGCUAGAGAUAGACUUCUACUUUAGCUAAAUAGAAGUACAUAAAAAUCCUGUGCGUGCAUUCAACAAAGGUUUACUGAAUGCCUGUGAUACGCAUAGCUCUGUCUAGGCCAAGGGGUGAGAGUUGUCAGCUUCAAAGAAAUCCAUCCCCAUCCUCAAGGAACUUAGAGAUGUGUAAAGGAAUUUUGAAACAAUCAAAAGUCAGGGUGAGCAGAAUAAGGCAAAAGGGAAAGUGUUCCAGUGCAUCUGCAAAGGUAAAGUGUGCCAAGGCUGUAUUUAUAUAUUUUAUACCUGUAUUGGAAUGAUUGUAGAGAAAAAUGCUCUUGAAAAAAGUUAAAGCUAUUUCUCAAUAUGGUAUUUUGGUGAUUUAGGGAUAAUUGUAAAUAUAUGUUAUGAAUCUUCUUAAAUACACACACACACACACUCCAAGAGGUGUAAAAAGUGUAUCCGGCUGUUGGUUACAGUUUGCUGGGGUCUAAUACCAUGUGUACUUUUCAGCACCUGGUAGGGAUCUCAUAAGUGACAGAAGCAAAGCCACUUUCCAAACAUCAUAUCAGCAGCCCAGGUAUGCAGUGAUGGUCUGAAAGGAGCCUGAAUCAAGCAACACAGCCCCUCAUCCCAAACAGCAAAGUAUCUCAAAACUCAUUCUGCAGCUGGAAGUAAAUAGGGUCAUUUUCUUAAAGCAAGGAUGUCAUUUUUUUAGAACUUAUAAGCACAUAAUUUUAGCCUAUAUUUUCUCUGUAAUCAAACAAAUUUUAACGGACAUAAAAUUGUAUUACAAAUGUGUUUCAUCCUAAUUUAAAUGGUUUUAUUUGUUUUUGUUUUUUAUUUAUAAUCUGAAAUUCCAGAGAAUUAUCAAGUCAAACAACUCUUUUGAAUUAUAAGCCACUUGACAUUGUUUUCUAAAAUCUUCUCAUAUGGGAAAAUAUUACCAAGAUCAAUGUAUCAAAAUUUAUUGCAUACUUUAAAAUAUAAAACC
ensembl:lncRNA